rnacentral:rRNA from 1 species
CCCGCCCGCUGGCGGCAUGCCUAACACAUGCAAGUCGAACGAGACCUUCGGGUUUAGUGGCGCACGGGUGCGGAACGCGUGGGAACCAGCAUUUAGGUUCGGAAUAAUUCAGAGAAAUUUGAGCUAAUAAAGGAUGAUGUCUUCGGACCAAAGAUUUAUCGCCGUUAGAUGGGCCCGGGAUGGAUUAGCUAGUUGGUGGGGAAAAGGCCGACCAAGGCGAGGAUCCUUAGCUGGUCUGAGAGGAUGAUCGGCCAAACUGGACCGGCGACACGGCCAAGACUCUUACGGGAGGCAGAAGGGGGGAAUAUUGGAAAAUGGGCGAAAGCCGGUUCCAGCAAUCCCGCGUGAGUGAUGAAGGCCUUAGGGUGUUAAAGCUCUUUUACCCUGGAGGAUAAUGAGAGUAUCGAGAGGAUAAACUCGGGCUGGCUCCGUA